rnacentral:rRNA from 1 species
GGAGCGAGACUGUGAAGUGGAGCAAAUCUCAAAAAUUAGUCUCAGUUCGGAUUGCAGGCUGCAACUCGCCUACACGAAGUCGGAAUCGCUAGUAAUCGCGGAUCAGCAUGCCGCGGUGAAUACGUUCCCGGGCCUUGUACACACCGCCCGUCACACCAUGGGAGCUGGUAACACCCGAAGUCAGUAGUCUAACCGCAAGGAGGACGCUGCCGAAGGUGGGAUUAGCGACUGGGGUGAAGUCGUAACAAGGUAAC